CGCUGGCGGCACGCCUAACACAUGCAAGUCGAACGAGGUAUUUAUACCUAGUGGCAGACGGGUGCGUAACAUGUGGGAAUCUGCCUUUUGGUUCGGAACAACAUGGGGAAACCUGUGCUAAUACCGGAUAAGUCCUUACGGAGAAAGAUUUAUCGCCGAAAGAUGAGCCCGCACUUGAUUAGCUUGUUGGUAAGGUAAAAGCUUACCAAGGCAACGAUCAAUAGCUGAUUUGAGAGGAUGAUCAGCCACACUGGGACUGAGACACGGCCCAGACUCCUACGGGAGGCAGCAGUGGGGAAUCUUGCACAAUGGAGGAAACUCUGAUGCAGCGAUGCCGCGUGAGUGAAGAAGGCCCUUGGGUUGUAAAGCUCUUUUGUCGGGAAAGAUAAUGACUGUACCCGAAGAAUAAGGUCCGGC
rnacentral:rRNA from 1 species